rnacentral:rRNA from 1 species
AUUGAACGCUGGCGGCAGGCUUAACACAUGCAAGUCGAGCGGGGAAGGGUAGCUUGCUACCUAACCUAGCGGCGGACGGGUGAGUAAUGCUUAGGAAUCUGCCUAUUAGUGGGGGACAACAUUCCGAAAGGAAUGCUAAUACCGCAUACGCCCUACGGGGGAAAGCAGGGGAUCUUCGGACCUUGCGCUAAUAGAUGAGCCUAAGUCAGAUUAGCUAGUUGGUGGGGUAAAGGCCUACCAAGGCGACGAUCUGUAGCGGGUGUGAGAGGAUGCACCGCCACACGGGGACUGAGACACGGCCCAGACUCCUACGGGAGGCAGCAGUGGGGAAUAUUGGACAAUGGGCGCAAGCCUGAUCCAGCCAUGCCGCGUGUGUGAAGAAGGCCUUUUGGUUGUAAAGCACUUUAAGCGAGGAGGAGGCUACCGAGAUUAAUACUCUUGGAUAGUGGACGUUACUCGCAGAAUAAGCACCGGCUAACUCUGUGCCAGCCGCCGCCGUAAUAC